AGCAGCCGCGGUAAUUCCAGCUCCAAUAGCGUAUAUUAAAGUUGUUGCAGUUAAAAAGCUCGUAGUUGAAUUUCGGGAUCAAGGAAUCGGUCAUGCCUCGGUAUGUACUGGUUUUAUUGGUUCUCACCUUCUAAAGAACCAUAAUGUCAUUUAUUUGGUGUUAUGGGGAAUUAGGACUGUUACCUUGAAAAAAUUAGAGUGUUUAAAGCAAGCUUACGCUUGAAUACAUUAGCAUGGAAU
rnacentral:rRNA from 1 species